GCCACACACACACAAGAAGUAUGGGCUUGUUGCUUUGCAGUGCUGGCGACCUAUUCCCUUUGAUGAUUCCUAGGUGGAGAUGGGGCAUGAGGAUCCUCCAGGGGAAUAGCUCACCACCACUGGGCAACAGGCCUAGCCCAGAUUUCAGUGAACCCACUUUCCUGAACCCAGCAAGGAAGACAAAGGCUCAACGACUGCCACCCUACAUCAAAAAUAGGAGAAAAGCUGCUGCAAUAGUGGCACUGACCUUCUGAGGAAGCCAUUCUGCUCUAUUUGGUCCCUUCCCUGGAAGCUACAAGACCUUUGCUGGCUGUUUACAUACUUCAGGAUGCACUGAGCUACCCUACCCAUGGGAUAUAAUACACAAUGCCAUCUACCAAAUAUUACUCUCCCUGCAAAGCAGCACAGAAAAUUGGGUCUUCAGCAUGAUCAAGAAAUGUGAACACACAGAAGGAAGCCAGCUUCAUAUACGACUCAAGGAUCAGCAUGCCUGACUGGCAGCAUCUUAUAAGCAACAG